GAAUUGACGGGGACCCGCACAAGCGGUGGAGCAUGUGGUUUAAUUCGAAGCAACGCGAAGAACCUUACCAAAUCUUGACAUCCUUCUGACCGGUCCGUAAAGGGGCCUUUCCUUCGGGACAGAAGAGACAGGUGGUGCAUGGUUGUCGUCGGCUCGUGUCGUGAGAUGUUGGGUUAAGUCCCGCAACGAGCGCAACCCUUAUCCUUAGUAGCCAGCACGCAGAGGUGGGCACUCUGGGGAGACUGCCAGGGACAACUUGGAGGAAGGUGGGGAUGACGUCAAAUCAUCAUGCCCCUUAUGAUCUGGGCUACACACGUGCUACAAUGGCGGCCACAAAGGGAAGCGACCCUGUGAAGGUGAGCGAAUCCCAAAAAAGCCGUCCCAGUUCGGAUUGUAGUCUGCAACUCGACUACAUGAAGCCGGAAUCGCUAGUAAUCGCGAAUCAGCAUGUCGUGGUGAAUACGUUCCCGGGUCUUGUACACACCG
rnacentral:rRNA from 1 species